rnacentral:rRNA from 1 species
AUUGAACGCUGGCGGCAGGCCUAACACAUGCAAGUCGAACGAGUGGCGGACGGGUGAGUAAUGUCUGGGAAACUGCCUGAUGGAGGGGGAUAACGACUGGAAACGGUAGCUAAUACCGCAUAACAUCCGAUGUGCCCAGAUGGGAUUAGCUAGUUGGUGGGGUACCGGCUCACCAAGGCGACGAUCCCUAGCUGGUCCGAGAGGAUGACCAGCCAUACUGGAACUGAGACAUGGUCCAGAAUCCUACGGGAGGCAGCAGGGGGGAAUAUUGCAGAAUGGGCGCAAGCCUGAUGCCGCCAUGCCGCGUGUAUGAAGAAGGCCUUCGGGUUGUAAAGUACUUUCAGCGGGGAGGCGUUACCCGCCGAAGAAGCACCGGCUAACUCCGUGCCAGCAGCCGCGGUAAUAC